UUUGAAGAGUUUGUCUUUUCAUAUGAUUUAUGGACUAAAACCGUUGAAGAUGCUUUGGACAGUUUUGUUCUGUUUGUGUUUUUGGCAUCUGGAUGGUGAUCAAGGUUACCCGCUAAAGCCAUGGCUAAUGACCCCCCUAACCAACCCGAGGACCGAGCAGGAACAGGCGUACAACCGUGCCCAUGCGCGCUCAAGGAGCACAGUUGAGCGCGCAAUAGGCCUGCUGAAAGGACGAUGGCUGUGUCUGUCAAGCACGGGAGGGACACUGCAGUAUCAGCCAGAAAAAGCAUGCAAAAUCAUCAUGGCUUGCAGUGUGCUACACAACUUGGCCAUCAGACAGGGCAUCCCUCUGCAGGAACCCCCAAGACCAGACGGCCCUAUGCCCGAUACAGUGCCCCUGCCACCUCCUAAUGCCGCUGGCAUUCAGACAAGACAGAGGAUCAUACAGACAUUUUAGCACCGCCUCACUCAGCACUCUUGGCGCACGGCGCAUGGAAGGGGCAAUGGAUGGGCCCGGCUCCUCAAGCUCCUCAGGCACAACGGGUGUCGCUAUUAAGGAAACACAUGUUCACAUUAAUUUAAUUGAGUUUAUCCUAUGAAUGAUUUCAUUAACAGUUUACAUAUUGAAAUAAAAUGUAUGCAAACACAAUAUCCUACUCCAGUUGGUUUAUUUUACCUUCACUUUGGGUGUUAGAUGGCCCGGUUUGUUCUGUCGCAAGAGCAUCGGUGUCACCGUCCUUAGUAAUCCCGGACAGAGCCGUGUCUCCGAUGAUGCAGGCUAUGCGGUUGUCCAAUGGGGAAAGUUCCGUUGUUGUCUGUCCUCCUCCAGUUGCGGACAUUUCUCGUCUGUGUGCUGUGACACGUUUUUUAGCCAAUACUUUAAUAU